AUUGAACGCUGGCGGCAGGCCUAACACAUGCAAGUCGAGCGAGCGGCGGACGGGUGAGUAAUGUAUGGGGAUCUGCCCGAUAGAGGGGGAUAACUACUGGAAACGGUGGCUAAUACCGCAUACUGUCGGAUGAACCCAUAUGGGAUUAGCUGGUUGGUGGGGUAAAGGCCUACCAAGGCGACGAUCAGUAGCGGGUCUGAGAGGAUGAUCCGCCACACUGGGACUGAGACACGGCCCAGACUCCUACGGGAGGCAGCAGUGGGGAAUUUUGGACAAUGGGCGCAAGCCUGAUCCAGCCAUGCCGCGUGUCUGAAGAAGGCCUUCGGGUUGUAAAGGACUUUUGUCAGGGAAGCGGUACCUGAAGAAUAAGCACCGGCUAACUACGUGCCAGCAGCCGCGGUAAUUC
rnacentral:rRNA from 1 species